rnacentral:rRNA from 1 species
GACGUAGGGUGCGAGCGUUGUCCGGAUUUAUUGGGCGUAAAGAGCUCGUAGGCGGCUCGUCGCGUCGACCGUGAAAACCCGCGGCUUAACUGCGGGCUUGCGGUUGAUACGGGCGGGCUAGAGUUCGGUAGGGGAGACUGGAAUUCCUGGUGUAGCGGUGAAAUGCGCAGAUAUCAGGAGGAACACCGGUGGCGAAGGCGGAUCUCUGGGCCGAUACUGACGCUGAGGAGCGAAAGCGUGGGGAGCGAACAGG